CGCAUAAGCCCACGGUGCCGCAUGGCACAGGGGGAAAAGGAGCAAUCCGCAUUGAGAUGGCCUCGCGUCCGAUUAGCUAGUUGGUGAGGUAAUGGCCCACCAAGGCGACGACCGGUAGCCGGACUGAGAGGUUGAACGGCCACAUUGGGACUGAGACACGGCCCAGACUCCUACGGGAGGCAGCAGUGGGGAAUAUUGCACAAUGGGGGAAACCCUGAUGCAGCGACGCCGCGUGGAGGAAGAAGGUCUUCGGAUUGUAAACUCCUGUUGUUGAGGAAGAUAAUGACGGUACUCAACAAGGAAGUGACGGCUAACUACGUGCCAGCAGCCGCGGUAAAACGUAGGUCACAAGCGUUGUCCGGAAUUACUGGGUGUAAAGGGAGCGCAGGCGGGAAGGCAAGUUGGAAGUGAAAUCUAUGGGCUCAACCCAUAAACUGCUUUCAAAACUGUUUUUCUUGAGUAGUGCAGAGGUAGGUGGAAUUCCCGGUGUAGCGGUGGAAUGCGUAGAUAUCGGGAGGAACACCAGUGGCGAAGGCGGCCUACUGGGCACCAACUGACGCUGAGGCUCGAAAGUGUGGGUAGCAAACAGGAUUAGAUACCCCGGUAGUCCACACCGUAAACGAUGAUUACUAGGUGUUGGAGGAUUGACCCCUUCAGUGCCGCAGUUAACACAAUAAGUAAUCCACCUGGGGAGUACGACCGCAAGGUUGAAACUCAAAGGAAUUGACGGGGGCCCGCACAAGCAGUGGAGUAUGUGGUUUAAUUCGACGCAACGCGAAGAACCUUACCAAGUCUUGACAUCCCUUGACGAACAUAGAAAUAUGUUUUCUCUUCGGAGCAAGGAGACAGGUGGUGCAUGGUUGUCGUCAGCUCGUGUCGUGAGAUGUUGGGUUAAGUCCCGCAACGAGCGCAACCCUUAUGGUCAGUUACUACGCAAGAGGACUCUGGCCAGACUGCCGUUGACAAAACGGAGGAAGGUGGGGAUGACGUCAAAUCAUCAUGCCCUUUAUGACUUGGGCUACACACGUACUACAAUGGCGUUAAACAAAGAGAAGCAAGACCGCGAGGUGGAGCAAAACUCAGAAACAACGUCCCAGUUCGGACUGCAGGCUGCAACUCGCCUGCACGAAGUCGAAUUGCUAGUAAUCGCAGAUCAGCAUGCUGCGGUGAAUACGUUCCCGGGCCUUGUACACACCGCCCGUCACACCAUGAGAGCCGGGGGGACCCGAAGUCGGUAGUCUAACCGCAAGGAGGACGCCGCCGAAGGUAAAACUGGUGAUUGGGGUGAAGUCGGAACAAGGU
rnacentral:rRNA from 1 species